rnacentral:rRNA from 1 species
CCUACGGGUGGCAGCAGUCGAGAAUCAUUCACAAUGGGGGAAACCCUGAUGGUGCGACGCCGCGUGGGGGAAUGAAGGUCUUCGGAUUGUAAACCCCUGUCAUGUGGGAGCAAAUUAAAAAGAUAGUACCACACGAGGAAGAGACGGCUAACUCUGUGCCAGCAGCCGCGGUAAUACAGAGGUAUCAAGCGUUGUUCGGAAUCACUGGGCGUAAGGCGUUGGUAGGCUGUGUCGUAAGUCGUGUGUGAAAGGUGCGGGCUGAACCCGCGGACGGCACAUGAUACUGCGAGACUAGAGUAAUGGAGGGGGAACCGGAAUUCUCGGUGUAGCAGUGAAAUGCGUAGAUAUCGAGAGGAACACUCGUGGCGAAGGCAGGUUCCUGGACAUUAACUGACGCUGAGGCACGAAGGCCAGGGGAGCGAAAGGGAUUAGAUACCCCAGUAGUC